rnacentral:rRNA from 1 species
AUUGAACGCUGGCGGCAUGCCUUACACAUGCAAGUCGAACGGUAACAGGUCUUCGGAUGCUGACGAGUGGCGAACGGGUGAGUAAUACAUCGGAACGUGCCUAGUAGUGGGGGAUAACUACUCGAAAGAGUGGCUAAUACCGCAUGAGAUCUACGGAUGAAAGCAGGGGAUCGCAAGACCUUGUGCUACUAGAGCGGCCGAUGGCAGAUUAGGUAGUUGGUGGGAUAAAAGCUUACCAAGCCGACGGUCUGUAGCUGGUCUGAGAGGACGAUCAGCCACACUGGGACUGAGACACGGCCCAGGCUCCUACGGGAGGCAGCAGUGGGGAAUUUUGGACAAUGGGCGCAAGCCUGAUCCAGCAAUGCCGCGUGCAGGAUGAAGGCCUUCGGGUUGUAAACUGCUUUUGUACGGAACGAAAAGCCCUGGGUUAAUACCCUGGGGUCAUGACGGUACCGUAAGAAUAAGCACCGGCUAACUACGUGCCAGCAGCCGCGGUAA